rnacentral:miRNA from 1 species
UAAGUUGUGUAAAUUCUAAC